GAUGAACGCUGGCGGCGUGCCUAAUACAUGCAAGUCGAGCGAACGGACGAGAAGCUUGCUUCUCUGAUGUUAGCGGCGGACGGGUGAGUAACACGUGGAUAACCUACCUAUAAGACUGGGGUAACUUCGGGAAACCGGAGCUAAUACCGGAUGAUAUUUUGAACCGCAUGGUUCAAAAGUGAAAGACGGUCUUGCUGUCACUUAUAGAUGGAUCCGCGCUGCAUUAGCUAGUUGGUAAGGUAACGGCUUACCAAGGCAACGAUGCAUAGCCGACCUGAGAGGGUGAUCGGCCACACUGGAACUGAGACACGGUCCAGACUCCUACGGGAGGCAGCAGUAGGGAAUCUUCCGCAAAGGGCGAAAGCCUGACGGAGCAACGCCGCGUGAGUGAUGAAGGUCUUCGGAUCGUAAAACUCUGUUAUUAGGGAAGAACAUAUGUGUAAGUAACUGUGCACAUCUUGACGGUACCUAAUCAGAAAGCCACGGCUAACUACGUG
rnacentral:rRNA from 1 species